rnacentral:tRNA from 1 species
GUCCCUAUAGUUAAACGGAUAUAACAUCGGUUUCCUAAACUGAGGUUCUGGGUUCGAUUCCCAGUGGGGGCG